rnacentral:rRNA from 1 species
GGGCCCGCACAAGCGGUGGAGUAUGUGGUUUAAUUCGAUGCAACGCGAAGAACCUUACCAGGGUUUGACAUCCUGCGAAUCUCUUGGAAACGAGAGAGUGCCUUCGGGAACGCAGUGACAGGUGGUGCAUGGCUGUCGUCAGCUCGUGUCGUGAGAUGUUGGGUUAAGUCCUAUAACGAGCGCAACCCCUGUUGUUAGUUGCCAGCGAGUAAUGUCGGGAACUCUAGCAAGACUGCCAGUGCAAACUGUGAGGAAGGUGGGGAUGACGUCAAAUCAUCACGGCCCUUACGUCCUGGGCUACACACGUGCUACAAUGCUACGGACAAAGGGCUGCAAGUUCGCGAGGACAAGCAAAUCCCAUAAACCGUGGCUCAGUUCAGAUCGUAGGCUGCAACUCGCCUACGUGAAGGCGGAAUCGCUAGUAAUCGCAGGUC